GUCUACGGCCAUACCACCCUGAACGCGCCCAAUCUCGUCUGAUCUCGGAAGCUAAGCAGGGUCAGGCCUGGUUAGUACUUGGAUGGGAGAGAGGUAGUGUGCUUCCAGCAACUCAAAGAUC
ensembl:rRNA 5S_rRNA 5S ribosomal RNA